rnacentral:rRNA from 1 species
CAGUUAUCGUUUAUUUGAUAGUAUCUUUCUACAUGGAUACCUGUGGUAAUUCUAGAGCUAAUACAUGCUAAAAACCCCGACUCCGGAAGGGGUGUAUUUAUUAGAUAAAAAACCGAUGCCCUUCGGGGCUCCGUGGUGAUUCAUAAUAACUCAACGAAUCGCAUGGCCUUGCGCCGGCGAUGGUUCAUUCAAAUUUCUGCCCUAUCAACUUUCGAUGGUAGGAUAGUGGCCUACCAUGGUGGCAACGGGUAGGCAUAUCUCCCGGUUGCCCGUGCCUGACCCGGUUGAGUGACCCCCCGGGAUCACUCGGCGACAUCACUGGUUCGGAGGAGACCCCCUCUCAACGCGAAGGGGUUUACUCCGAGGCGAGCACCGCACGGGUGCCGUCGCAACGCAUGUCAAGUGAUGGAUACCCGACACACGGGGGUUUCAGAUACAUGCUGACCGCCCGGCUUCCGCCGGGGACGGAGACAAUGAACGGGGAAUUAGGGUUCGAUUCCGGAGAGGGAGCCUGAGAAACGGCUACCACAUCCAAGGAAGGCAGCAGGCGCGCAAAUUACCCAAUCCCGAUACGGGGAGGUAGUGACAAUAAAUACUGAUACAGAGCUCUUUUGGGUUUUGUAAUUGGAAUGAGUACAAUUUAAAUCUCUCGGGUUCUCGUGGGGGAUUAGCCUGGAACGAGUCGCUCGGGCGGCACCGGUCACGGUGUCUUCCGGGGGGCAACACCUGCGCUCUGCGGGGACCCUUCCGGGUACGGAGGGAACCCGCCACCCUGACUCGCUGGGGGUCGGGGCUCAGAGACUAAGUGCGGGUGGGUGACCGAGCGUUACUUUCGAUAUAGUCCAACCCUUCGGGCGACCAGCCCGGGGGUUACAGUGUAACGAGGAACAAUUGGAGGGCAAGUCUGGUGGGCACGACAGUGUUCCAGUGGGAGGAUUUUUCCUCGCUGCUGACGCCAGUCAUAGGUUGGGUCUCGGUGUGUCAACGUUUGGGACCCGGUUUAGUGGGAUAGUAUCCUGCGAGGUAUCUGGUACGGGGAAGGGCCUCUGGACAGGCUUCAUCCCGUGGUUAGAGGGUUCACCCUCAGCCUUAACGCACGCCAGGGUAUCGGUGAUGGUCCACGGGGCGUCAUUCUAGGUACGUGCUAGUCCCACCGUCGGUGGGUGUUCCGGCCAGCAGCCGCGGUAAUUCCAGCUCCAAUAGCGUAUAUUAAAGUUGUUGUAGUUAAAAAGCUCGUAGUUGAACCUUGGGCCUGGCUGACCGGUCCGCCUCACCGCGUGCACUGGUUCGGCCGGGCCUUUCUUUCUGGGGAACCGCAUGCCCUUCACUGGGUGUGCCGGGGAAUCAGGACUUUUACUUUGAAAAAAUUAGAGUGUUCAAAGCAGGCCUAUGCUCGGAUACAUUAGCAUGGAA